rnacentral:rRNA from 1 species
AUCACUCUAAGCGGUGGAUCACUCGGCUCAUGGGUCGAUGAAGAACGCAGCAAACUGUGCGUCAUCGUGUGAACUGCAGGACACAUGAACAUCGACAUUUUGAACGCAUAUCGCAGUCCAUGCUGUUUUGUACUUUAAUUAAUUUAUAGUGCUGCUGGACUACAUAUGGUUGAGGGUUGUAAGACUUUGCUAACUAAGCUGUUUACAAUUUUUCGAAGUUUUAAGCAUAUGGUAUAUUAUUGGAUAGAUUAUGUGUGUCCCUGAUAUGCAUAAAUUAUUCAUAAUAUUAAUAUAUAUAUGGAUGUACUACUCAUUGUAUAUUUUGUAUGAGAAAACUGAAGAAUUAUAUUUUCUUUUUUCAAAUCAAAUAAUACUGAGGAAUGUCUAGCAUAAAGAAAAAUAUUUUUUCCUUAAUCUAGAAUUGCCUCUUAUUAAUGAUGUGUGAUAAAAGAAUGUUGUAAAACUUAUGGAACUUCAGAAAAAAGUAUUAUCCAUUAUAUUGAACAAUAAAUAAUGUUCAAUUAACAUUGUUUUAUACAACCUCAACUCAUAUGGGACUACCCCCUGAAUUUAAGCAUAUUAAUUAGGGGAGGAAAAGAAACUAACAAGGAUUUUCUUAGUAGCGGCGAGCGAAAAGAAAUCAGUUCAGCACUAAGUCACUUUGUCUAUAUGGCAAAUGUGAGAUGCAGUGUACGGAACAUCAACAUUCUAGUAUGAGAAGUUAACGAUUUAAGUCCUUCUUAAAUGAGGCCAUUUACCCAUAGAGGGUGCCAGGCCCGUAUAACGUUAAUGAUUACUAGAUGGUGUUUCCAAAGAGUCGUGUUGCUUGAUAGUGCAGCACUAAGUGGGUGGUAAACUCCAUCUAAAACUAAAUAUAACCAUGAGACCGAUAGUAAACAAGUACCGUGAGGGAAAGUUGAAAAGAACUCUGAAUAGAGAGUUAAAUAGUACGUGAAACUACUUAGAGGUUAAGCCCGAUGAACCUGAAUAUCCGUUAUGGAAAAUUCAUCAUUAGAAUUGUAAUAUUUUAAACAAUAUUAUAAUAGUGUGCAUUUUUUCCAUAUAAGGACAUUGUAAUCUAUUAGCAUAAAUAUUUAUCAUAAAAUUAUGUCUGAUUGCUUAUUUGAAUUAUAUGCUUGGCAUUUUAACAUAAAAUAAAAGAUAUAAAUUUGAUAAAGUGCUGAUAGAUUUAUAUGAUUACAGUGCGUUAAUUUUUCGGAAUUAUAUAAUGGCAUAAUUAUCAUUGAUAUUUGUGUUUAUUAUAUGCAUUUGUAUGAUUAACAAUGCGAAAGAUUCAGGAUACCUUCGGGACCCGUCUUGAAACACCGGACCAAGGAGUCUAACAUAUGUGCAAGUUAUUGGGAUAUAAACCUAAUAGCGUAAUUAACUUGACUAUUAAUGGGAUUAGUUUUUUAACUAUUUAUAGUUAAUUAACGCAAUCCCGGGCGCUCUAUAUAGUUAUGUAUAAUAAUAUUUAUAUUAUUUAUACCUCUAACUGGAACGUACCUUGAGCAUAUGCUGUGACCCGAAAGAUGGUGAACUAUACUUGAUCAGGUUGAAGUCAGGGGAAACCCUGAUGGAAGACCGAAACAGUUCUGACGUGCAAAUCGAUUGUCAGAAUUGAGUAUAGGGGCGAAAGACCAAUCGAACCAUCUAGUAGCUGGUUCCUUCCAAAGUUUCCCUCAGGAUAGCUGGUGCAUUUAACUGUUGUAUAAAAUAAUCUUAUCUGGUAAAGCGAAUGAUUAGAGGCCUUAGGGUCGAAACGAUCUUAACCUAUUCUCAAACUUAAGAACCUUAACUUUCUUGAUAUGAAGUUUAAGGUUAUGAUAUAAUGUGCCCAGUGGGCCACAUUUGGUAAGCAGAACUGGCGCUGUGGGAUGAACCAAACGUAAUGUUACGGUGCCCAAAUUAACAACUCAUACAGAAACCAUGAAAGGCGUUGGUGCUUAAAACAGCAAACGGUGAUCAUGGAAGUCGAAAUCCGCUAAGGAGUGUGUACAACUCACCUGCCGAAGCAGCUAGCCCUUAAAAUAGAUGGCGCUAAGUUGUAUACCUAUACAUUACCGCUAAAGUAGAUGAUUUAUAUUACUUGUAAUAUAAAUUUUGAAACUUAAGUGAGUAGGAAGGUACAAUGGUGUGCAUAGAAGUGUUUGGCGUAAGCCUGCAUGGAACCGCUAUUGGUACAGAUCUUGGUGGUAGUAGCAAAUAAUCGAAUGAGACCUUGGAGGACUGAAGUGGAGAAGGGUUUCGUGUGAACGGUUGAUCACGAGUUAGUCGGUCCUAAGUUCAAGGCGAAAGCCGAAAUUUCAAGUAAGAAAAAUCUAAUAUAUUUGUCAUCUAACCGAUUUUUAUACACUUGAAUAAUUUUGAACGAAAGGGAAUACGGUUCCAAUUCCGUAACCUGUUGAGUAUCCGUUUGUUAUUAAAUAUGGGCCUCGUGCUCAUCCUGGCAACAGGAACGACCAUAAGAAGCCGUCGAGAGGUUCGGAAGAGUUUUCUUUUCUGUUUUAUAGCCGUACUACCAUGGAAGUCUUUCGCAGAGAGAUAUGGUACAUGGGCUAGAAGACCAUGACAUAUACUGUUGUGUCGAUAUUUUCUCCUCGGACCUUGAAAAUUUAUGGUGGGGACACGCAAACUUCUCAACAGGCCGUACCAAUAUCCGCAGCUGGUCUCCAAGGUGAAGUCUCUAGUCGACAGAAUAAGUAGGACGUUUGC